CUACGGGUGGCUCCAGUGGGGAAUAUUGCACAAUGGGCGCAAGCCUGAUGCAGCCAUGCCGCGUGUAUGAAGAAGGCCUUCGGGUUGUAAAGUACUUUCAGCGGGGAGGAAGGGAGUAAAGUUAAUACCUUUGCUCAUUGACGUUACCCGCAGAAGAAGCACCGGCUAACUCCGUGCCAGCAGCCGCGGUAAUACGGAGGGUGCAAGCGUUUAUCGGAAUUACUGGGCGUAAAGCGCACGCAGGCGGUUUGUUAAGUCAGAUGUGAAAUCCCCGGGCUCAACCUGGGAACUGCAUCUGAUACUGGCAAGCGUGAGUAUCGUAGAGGGGGGUAGAAUUCCAGGUGUAGCGGUGAAGUGCGUAGAGAUCUGGAGGAAUACCGGUGGCGAAGGCGGCCCCCUGGACGAAGACUGACGCUCAGGUGCGAAAGCGUGGGGAGCAAACAGGAUUAGAUACCCUAGUAGUC
rnacentral:rRNA from 1 species